rnacentral:rRNA from 1 species
GCAUAUCAAUAAGCGGAGGAAAAGAAACUAACAAGGAUUCCCCUAGUAACGGCGAGUGAAGCGGGAAGAGCUCAAAUUUGAAAUCUGGUGGCCUCAGGUCAUCCGAGUUGUAAUCUAUAGAAGUGUUUUCCGUGCUGGCUCGUGUACAAGUCCCUUGGAACAGGGCGUCAUAGAGGGUGAGAAUCCCGUCCUUGACAUGAACUACCAGUGCUCUGUGAUACAUUUUCAACGAGUCGAGUUGUUUGGGAAUGCAGCUCAAAAUGGGUGGUAAAUUCCAUCUAAAGCUAAAUAUUGGCGAGAGACCGAUAGCGAACAAGUACCGUGAGGGAAAGAUGAAAAGCACUUUGGAAAGAGAGUUAAACAGUAUGUGAAAUUGUUAAAAGGGAAACGAUUGAAGUCAGUCGUGCUCUUUGGAUUCAGCCGGUUCUGCCGGUGUACUUCCUUUGAGUGGGGUCAACAUCAGUUUUGAUCGCUGGAUAAAGGCUGGAGGAACGUAGCACCCCCGGGUGAACUUAUAGCCUCCUGUCACAUACAGUGGUUGGGACUGAGGAACGCAGCACGCCUUUAUGGCCAGGAUCCGUCCAUGUACGUGCUUAGGAUGUUGACAUAAUGGCUUUAAACGACCCGUCUUGAAACACGGACC